rnacentral:rRNA from 1 species
UACGGGGGGGGCAAGCGUUGUUCGGAAUUACUGGGCGUAAAGAGCUCGUAGGCGGCUUGUCGCGUCGACUGUGAAAACCCGCGGCUCAACCGCGGGCUUGCAGUCGAUACGGGCAGGCUAGAGUUUGGUAGGGGAGACUGGAAUUCCUGGUGUAGCGGUGAAAUGCGCAGAUAUCAGGAGGAACACCGGUGGCGAAGGCGGGUCUCUGGGCAACAACUGACGCUGAGGAGCGAAAGCGUGGGGAGCGAACAGG